rnacentral:rRNA from 1 species
GAUGAACGCUGGCGGCGUGCCUAAUACAUGCAAGUCGAGCGAACAGACGAGGAGCUUGCUCCUCUGACGUUAGCGGCGGACGGGUGAGUAACACGUGGAUAACCUACCUAUAAGACUGGGAUAACUUCGGGAAACCGGAGCUAAUACCGGAUAAUAUAUUGAACCGCAUGGUUCAAUAGUGAAAGACGGUUUUGCUGUCACUUAUAGAUGGAUCCGCGCCGCAUUAGCUAGUUGGUAAGGUAACGGCUUACCAAGGCAACGAUGCGUAGCCGACCUGGAAGGCUGAUCGGCCACACUGGAACUGAGACACGGUCCAGACUCCUACGGGAGGCAGCAGUAGGGAAUCUUCCGCAAUGGGCGAAAGCCUGACGGAGCAACGCCGCGUGAGUGAUGAAGGUCUUCGGAUCGUAAAACUCUGUUAUUAGGGAAGAACAAAUGUGUAAGUAACUAUGCACGUCUUGACGGUACCUAAUCAGAAAGCCACGGCUAACUACGUG